GACAGAGGUGCCAAGCGUUAGGCGGAAUCACUGGGCUUAAAGCGUGUGUAGGCGGGUGCCUAAGUACCUUGUGAAAUCCCACGGCUCAACCGUGGAACUGCUGGGUAUACUGGGUGCCUUGGGUCAUCUAGGGGCUGCCGGAACAAAUGGCGGAGCGGUGAAAUGCGUAGAUAUCAUUUGGAACGCCAACGGCGAAAGCAGGCAGCUGGGGAUGCACCGACGCUGAGACACGAAAGCCAGGGGAGCGAACGGG
rnacentral:rRNA from 1 species